rnacentral:rRNA from 1 species
CCUACGGGUGGCAGCAGUGGGGAAUAUUGGGCAAUGGACGCAAGUCUGACCCAGCAACGCCGCGUGAAGGAAGAAGGCUGUCGGGUUGUAAACUUCUUUUAAGGGGGAAGAGCAGAAGACGGGACGCCUGGAAUAAGCCACGGCUAACUAAGUGCCAGCAGCCGCGGUAAUACGGAGGUGGCAUGCGUUGUCCGGAUUUACGGGGUGGAAAGGGCGUGCAGCCGGAGCGACAAGUCAGAUGUGAAAUCCAAGGGCUCAACCCGUGAACUGCAUUUGAAACUGUUUCCCUUGAGUGUCGGAGAGGUCAUCGGAAUUCCUUGUGUAGCGGUGAAAUGCGUAGAUAUCCGGAAGAACCCCAGUGGC